rnacentral:rRNA from 1 species
UGAACGCUGGCGGCGUGCUUAACACAUGCAAGUCGAACGAGAACGGGCCUAGCUUGCUAGGCUGUCAGCUAAGUGGCGGACGGGUGAGUAAUGUAUAGUUAAUCUGCCCUUUAGAGGGGGAUAACAGUUGGAAACGACUGCUAAUACCCCAUACUCCUUUUACCUUAAUGGUAAUUGGGAAACGUUUUUUCGCUAAAGGAUGAGACUAUAUGGUAUCAGGUAGUUGGUGGGGUAAGAGCCUACCAAGCCAAUGACGCCUAGCUGGUCUGAGAGGAUGAUCAGCCACACUGGAACUGAGACACGGUCCAGACUCCUACGGGAGGCAGCAGUGGGGAAUAUUGCACAAUGGAGGAAACUCUGAUGCAGCAACGCCGCGUGGAGGAUGACGCAUUUCGGUGCGUAAACUCCUUUUAUAUAAGAAGAUAAUGACGGUAUUAUAUGAAUAAGCACCGGCUAACUCC